GCGAGAGUGGCGGAAUUGGCAGACGCGCAGGAUUUAGGUUCCUGUGCCGCAAGGCGUGAGGGUUCAAAUCCCUCCUCUCGCA
rnacentral:tRNA from 1 species